UACAGAGGUCUCAAGCGUUGUUCGGAUUCAUUGGGCGUAAAGGGUGCGUAGGCGGCGCGGUAAGUCGGGUGUGAAAUCUCGGAGCUUAACUCCGAAACUGCAUUCGAUACUGCCGUGCUUGAGGACUGGAGAGGAGACUGGAAUUUACGGUGUAGCGGUGAAAUGCGUAGAUAUCGUAAGGAAGACCAGUGGCGAAGGCGGGUCUCUGGACAGGUUCCUGACGCUGAGGCACGAAGGCCAGGGGAGCAAACGGG
rnacentral:rRNA from 1 species